rnacentral:misc_RNA from 1 species
UCCCUUCUCUCAUUCCUUUUAAUUUCAUAAUUCAUUUAAUCCUCUCAUCUUUUAACGCACCUUGCGCUCCUUGGUAUUCCUUGGAGCAUGCCUGUUUGAGUAUCAUGAAAUCUUCAAAGUAAAUCUUUUGUUAACUCAAUUGGUUUCUACUUUGGUAUUGGAGGUCUUUGCAGCUUCACACCUGCUCCUCUUUGUUCAUUAGCUGGAUCUCAGUGUUAUGCUUGGUUCCACUCGGCGUGAUAAGUUAUCUAUCGCUGAGGACACUGUAAAAGGUGGCCAAGGUAAAUGCAGAUGAACCGCUUCUAAUAGUCCAUUGACUUGGACAAUACUUUUAUGAUCUGAUCUCAAAUCAGGUAGGACUACCCGCUGAACUUAAGC